CUUUACAAUGGCUAACAGUAAAAGAUUGGAAUUGAAUGAGAGGGUCUGAGUUAUUGUCUUCCUGAGGCUGCAAUAUGCAGAAUAUAGAAAAUUCUCUCAUGCUUAAGCCUUUCUUUUAUAUUUCUUGUGUUCAUGAAAUUAGUUUUAAAUCAUCAAGGGUUUCUGCUUCUAAUUUGAAGAGUUCUUUUAAUAAACAUGGUUUAGAGUAACAGAGUGCUUAUGAAAGUUCCAAGUCUAUGUGGUCCUGGACCCGGAUGAGGGCAAAACUUAAGUACGGGAAAGAACUAAGACCUCACGUGAGAAAGGAGCCUAUGAAGCAAUUGACAACUUGGGAAAAAGAAUAGCAGUUCAGUAUAAGGCAGCAGAUUAUCUGAUCAAAACAAAACUGAAAAUUCUAUUUGCCUCAAAAAGAAUCCUAAGGAGUCAAUGGAUGUCCACUGGGCCUGAAACACCACGGCUACCAAAACCCACUUCUCUGGUGAAGGGCAAGAGGUGGAAUUUGAAGCAGAAUGGGCAUAUUGUAUAUUUGUUGCCUUAUCCAUGAAAAGGGAGAAAAGAUAAAGCAAGAGAAAAGAGAAGAGCAAGAGGCAUAAAGAUAUGAAAAGGAAGAGCUUGUCAACUUGGUGUUGAUUUCUCCUGGUGGCCCUGUUGCAGUAGUUCAGUUGGUAAUGUGAGAAAGUGAUCAAUAAACCUGGAAGUUAAUCAACUUCUUGUCAUAUGGAGUUUCCUUCUACAGACAGAGAUCCAAAAGAGAGAGCUGAACAAGGAGAGACAUAAGUAAUAAAUAGAGGCAAUUUAACUCCUGUGAUGCCAGGAUUUGUCUGUUUAUUUCUUUAUUUGCCAGACACAUUUAGUAUGAUAUUUCACA